GCCGGGAUAGCUCAGCUGGGAGAGCAACAGACUGAAGAGCUUCUCGGAGGCUUGUAACUUCUGGAGGUCGCGUGUUCAAUCCACGCUCCUGGCA